CCCCUCUCAGGGUUGCACCUGGAGAGUUUCCAGUACUCUACCAGUCAUGACUACAGGAGGAAGGAUCAAGCAGAGGUACACCCAUUCCAUUCCUAGCUUGGCCAGUGGCUAAUGAGUGGAAAACAAUCUGCUACAAGU
rnacentral:snoRNA from 2 species